AGCGCAAAUAUGCGGAUGUCUUUUGUCACCUACUCCACAGAUGGCGACACUGUCUUGCCACUCACCUCAGACAAGAAGAAAAUAAAAGAGGGUCUCGACAAACUUCAGAAAAUGGUGCCUGAAGGACACAUAUUCAUGCAGGCAGGGUUUAGAAAUGCAAUUCGGCAGAUGGAAAAUUUCAACUCCAAUGACAAGGUUUCCAGCAUGAUUAUUGCUAUGACUGAUGGAACAAUGAUGAAACAUCCAUCUUUGGACACUCUCAAAGAAGCUGAAAGGGCUCGGAGCCUGGGGGCCACCAUUUAUACCGUGGGUAUGGCUGAUUAUAGGAAAGACCCAAUAACAGCAAUGGCAGGCGGUCCGGACCAUGUGUUUGCAGUGGAGGAUGGCUUCAAGGCCCUGAGAAGCACUGUUGAUGCUCUCAUGUCAAAGACCUGUCUUGAAGUGACGUCUGUGGAGCCUUCCUCUGAGUGUGUAGGA
rnacentral:lncRNA from 1 species